rnacentral:rRNA from 1 species
AUGUUUGGGGAUUUUCAUUUUCUUGAAGAACUGAACAUUUUCUCUUGUCCAAAAAUCCGCUCCCGAAGAUUGGUAUCGCCAUCCCUUAAGAAGCUCAGACUGUCUCGUUCUGCUCUCUUUUACAGCAUUGAAUGCUGCUCCCUCACCUACUUUGAUCUAUCAAGUGAGUUUGUCAGGUCCAUCCAACUACAGAUGUGGAGUCUUCCAGCUCUACGGGAGUUGCACAUUCUGUGCCGCUCUCUUACAUCUAUUGGAGGCUCCACUAACCUUUCCCUUUGUACGGGCACUGGCAGCAUUAGAGCAUUCUCGUCCCUUAGUGUCCUAAGUAUUUCACAUUGUGAUAAAUUGUCAACCCUUGAUGACCUCCUAACACAAGAAUAUCUACCUGCUAUUGAGGAAAUUGCAAUCAGAUUUUGUGAGGAGUUACCGUCCCUGCCAGGUGAAAGCUUUGGGAGUUUUCCUUAUCUGAAAGAUCUGCGGAUUCACAACUGCAGAAGUCUCAACUGGCAAAGGGGAUUGGUGUUGCCAUCGUCUCUGCAAAGGCUCAGCUUGCAUUAUUGUGGGGAUAUGUUUUCAUCUGUUCCCAGCUGCCUUACAAAUCUAACGUCCCUCGUAUCAUUGACGAUGAAGGGAUGCCAGGGUAUAAGAUGCAUUCCAGGCGACAUUUGGCGCUGUAAUCUUACAUCACUUGAGUUGUUGGAGAUUCGGCAUUGUCCAGACCUAGUUUCAAUCGGUGGAGCAAAGGCAGUUGAGAAAAUAAAGUCAGUGUGGAUAUGCGAGUGUCCAAAUUUAAAGGGAGUAUCAGGGAUCAUGAGAAGGUGCAGCAAAGGAUGA